AAGAACACAUCUCUAACAGAAUCUUGUUCACUCUUUAGAUUUGCUGUACCACACAAUAAAACAACUAGAUCAUGGGACAAAAGAAAGAGAUUAUUUAUACUGGAUCUGUGUCUGCAAGCUGCACUCCAUCAGAAAGAGACAAUAGAAGAAACUGUGAAGAAACUGCUAUCAUCUGUGGAUUAUGAAAAAUCUGAUUUCCUGCUGGAUCUGUACUCACAUGUGAAGGACUAUGACACUCAAACAGGCAGGAGUGUCCUUCCAGCAUUACAGCCAAUUUAUCAGUCAGCUCCUGCAGUCUGGAGCAUAAAGCUCUCAGAGAGAAAGAGCUCCAUCCUCCUAGAAGUGCUGAAACUCCAAACAGAGAAGAAACCAGUAGAGCUGAGAGACUGGACAGAUGAAGAGAGUGAAGUGAAGGGAUUCCUCCAGUGUCUGCCCUACAUCUCACAGCUGAGGUUGAAAACAGACCUUUUUGAUGACAAGGAUGUUUCUGCUGCACAGUGUCUCUUAAACCUGAGUGUUGCAGCUUCAGAGUUUGAUUCACAUACAGGAGGGAAUUACACUCAACUAUUAACAUCUGUGUGCAGUUACACAUAUUUCCCCUUUAAUGAGGGUGAUUAUGAUUGUUAUUCUGAAUGUAAAUAUCAUCAGUCUGAUUUCCUGCUGGAUCUGUGUUCACAUGUGAAGGACUAUGAGACUCAAACAGGCAGGAGUGUCCUUCCAGCAUUACAGCCAAUUUAUCAGUCAGCUCCUGCAGUCUGGAGCAUAAAGCUCUCAGAGAGAAAGAGCUCCAUCCUCCUAGAAGUGCUGAAACUCCAAACAGAGAAGAAACCAGUAGAGCUGAGAGACUGGACAGAUGAAGAGAGUGAAGUGAAGGGAUUCCUGCAGUGUCUGCCCUACAUCUCUGAUUUAAGGUCUGUAUUUAAUACAAUUUAACUUUAAUUUGAAGUUGGAUAAAAACAUUGUAAUUUGUGCAUGUUUAAAAUUAUUGUGUGUAAUUCUUUUUUUUUGACAAUGUGAUUCCAAACUCUAAAAUCUAUUAAUAAGCUUUUUCUUUCAACUAAAAAAAUCCAUUAUUCUGAAUCAGUUUUCUUUGGAGUAACAACACUAAAGAGUGUCACACACCAGAUCUAGCAGGCAGAUGAUAUGCAGCGUCUUAGAAUUUGAAAUCAUUGUUUUCUGUGAAUAUACACACACCGGCACUGCUAUUUGUCAUCCAUCAGUGUCUCCCAGAUAUGUUUUGGUGGGCUAUUCAAAAUCACUUUCGAACACAGAGGGGCCAAUGAUAGUCGAGUAUCAGUUGCAUGGGGAGUGGAACUCGGACAUCUGUAGGUUUCAGUGCCAUAGAGAAACAUUGGAGGACCCGAAGCUUGCAUUGGUUUUAUGGUAUUUAUGCUGCAAAAAUGGAAAAAGAUGUGCCUGGGGUAUUUGUAACACUGAUUCCAGGUAUCCUGAGAGGAUAUGCAAUAGAAUUUAUUUUAUUACAUUUCCUAAACCCAAACAAAACAAAGCAAAAUGUCCAUAAGCAUUUAAUCCCAAUCCCAAUGAAGAGAAAAACGUUCAUUUUCUGGUUGUCAUACUCUCAUUAAGUUACAAUUUUCAUCUGCUCCAGCAGAACGCUGUUAUCUUGUGUUUCAGCAAGGUAUCUCUGGCUAAAACUAACAUUAAAGUUAGUCCGUCCAUACUAAUGUACAAACCUAAAUAGCGGACACAGGGCUCCAGACUGCGACCAAAUGGUUGCAUUUUGCGACCAUUUUUUCUUCCGGUGCGACUAAUUUUUGUGAGCGGUCGCACUGGCGCGACCACCAUGUUGUCCAGCUCACAAGCACUGCCAUUUUUGUUGCAUUUGAGAAACCUCAAAUGGCAAACGAAAGCGAAACUAAACUGCGCUACAUUUCAGCUGCAGCGCAGACCGUUUAUCAGCUCAGACCACAAUGCAAACAAACUUCCCGAGCUCAGAAGCAAAGUUGAUUUACUCGGAAGCAAAGUUGAUUUCGCGACACUGUUACUGCACAGAUGCAACAGUGCUGCGAGAUCCAGUGAGAAGUGUUUGAAUUCGCUGCUCAUUGAAAAGGUUGUGUGAAAUCUCUAAAAUGGUCCAGUUUGAAAGUAAUUUUUAAUGGGAUGAUCAAAAUAUACUUUGUGGUAAACAAACACUUUUGUAAAAUAAAAAUAAAAACAUCAAAACA
ensembl:lncRNA